rnacentral:rRNA from 1 species
GACGAACGCUGGCGGCGUGCCUAAUACAUGCAAGUCGACCUUAGGGGUGAGUGGGUGAGUAACACCUGGCCAACCUGCCCAUCAGAAGGGGAUAACACGUGGAAACAGGUGCUAAUACCGUAUACUGAUGGAUGGACCUGCGGUGCAUUAGGGUGUUGGUGGGGUAACGGCUCACCAAGGCCACGAUGCAUAGCGGGCCUGAGAGGGUGAUCGGCCACAUUGGGACUGAGACAGGGCCCAAACUCCUACGGGAGGCAGCAGGAGGGAAUCUUCGGCAAUGGACGAAAGUCUGACGGAGAAACGCCGCGUGAGUGAAGAAGGUUUUCGGAUCGUAAAACUCUGUUGUCAGAGAAGCGGUACCUAACCAGAAAGCCACGGCUAACUACGUGCCAGCAGCCGCGGUAAUAC